CAAUCAAUUUUUAUACUUUGAAAGAGUUAUGUUUUGAAAAUAAUAAUGUUAAAAAAAAAAGGAUGUAUGUUUGUUAAUGGUUUUAAUUGAGUAAGGCAAAGUCAAGAUGCUUGUUCCUACUUUAUCUGCUCGCAGGUACAGGUAUUUUUUAGUAUUUUUUUUAUCUGUUUGCUGUCAAGUUGCCGCAAUUGCUGAAUUGCAUUUUACUUUCAUACUUCAAUAUGAAAUGUUAAUACAAUGGAGGAAACUUUAAAAAAAGAAAAAAGUUAAAAAAUACAGAAGCUUUAAAAAAUAGUAAUAAAUAAAUGGUAUGCACUAUAGUCAGUAUUGUCCCCUGACAAAGAAGCUUGUGACGAACCAGAAAUGAGCUCCUCAACUACCUUUGCCUUAGAAAAAGUUCACAUUAAAAAGUAGCUGUAAUAAACAAAACUUGCUUUCAGGCCCAUACGGAGAACCAGUGUUUUGCUCUGUGGAGUAGGAGUGUAUGUAGUGGGGCUCUCUUCCAUACUAUAAAAUAGUUGUAAAGGGGAUGGAAGUUCUUAAACUAGAACUAGUGCAGGAAGGGAGCCUCAGAAAUAGGAUGCAGAGAAAGUUAUAAAGGAGAAGAGCCAGUCCGUCUGGAUGCUGGAGCAUGGGCCCUUAUGAAGUUGGGAGGCCAGCAGGGAGGUGUCCUUGAAAGAUGCAGAAGAGUUACUAUAGGAGUGUGUAAGUAUGGUUCAGUUGCAAGGUCUGUGGCACUGUUAGAGUGAUAGCAGUAAUGCUGAAUUUUAUGAUUCUCUGAUACUGUCUUGUGGAAACAAAAAGAAAGGUGUAAGAGGAAAACCAAAAGGCCCUUAUUAAAAAAAAAAAAAAAAAAAAGGGAUGCUCUGUAUAGUUAAGAUGAACUUCUGUUGUAUUGUGUAAAUCAGUUCUGUACUUGUAACACUAAGAUGGUUUGAUAAAAAGAGAUACGUUUGCUUGAAGGAACACACAGUAUCAAAUGAGGUAAAAAGAAGAGUUCAUUAAAGGAAAUGGAGGCACAAGCAGCUUUUACUCCUGCAUUUCCUAUCUUACAUAUCCUUGAGCAUGUGAACACACUUCCAAUAAAGAAAAAGGAAAAGUCACUGGGAAGCCCCAGAAAGUUGCUCCUUUUUUUUUGUCCUACACUUCCUUUCAUUUAUAUGUAAUACAUGGGUACAUAAAUAGCCCAUGUAACCCUUCUUUUCACCCCCCCUCUGGCCCACCUUCUCUCAAUUAUUUUUUCCAACAGAUAAUCUGAUUUACAACAUAAUUAUGUUCACUAAUUAAUAAUGUGCAGCUCAGGAAAUGGAAAAUCGUUUAGUAUGGAAAAAUUAUGAUGUAGAAUUAAGGGUUCAGAUAUGUGAACAUGUUUUGGUGGAAUAGCAAGUUUCCUACAUUGUCUAACUGUUGGUAACUGUCCAGUAUUACACUUUAGAUCAUGAAUUUAGAGUGCUUUGAUUCAGUCCUCUGGCCAGCAUUCAUUUACCCAGCUUGUUUUCCCUUCUUCAAGCUACAAGUCCAAAACACAGUGUACUUCUACAUUUACUGACUUCAGCAAUAGGACUUGAUGCCUGAGAAAUGUCAUUAUAUGCAAAAUGCCUGCAGAGUGGGGAAGGUAAAAUAAUUGGUAGCAACUUCCUUCCAGUGGAAAGUGAAGUCCAAUGCAACAGUAUAAACGUUAAAGCUCUAGAGCAGAUCCCUAGAAAAUGUUCUGUUGUGUGCAGUGGGUUGUAGUGGGUGAUUUUGUAAAUGAGCUCCUGAAUAGUGUUGCCUUGGUGUAAUUAUUAUGAAUGUAAACAUCUGUGAAAGGGGAGAAGGCAGCAGAAUACAAGUCAUAAUGGCUGGAAUUUCUUCUUCUAAAAUAUUCCCACAUGUUGAAAGCUACUUUCUUGCACUGUAAAUUGGAUCACAGCAAAUACAUUAUUGAUUAUGUUAUUGUAAAUCGUUUGCAGGUGAGAGGUAUUUUGUAUUAUUACUUGUUCAGAGUCCAACAAUCGUGAGAUAAAAAGGACAAAUUGGAAUUUCACUUGAUGGAGUCCUGCACAUCAGAUAUUCUUCUAUCUGAGGCUGCCAGUAGUGCAGCAGAAAUGCCUAAAUGGUAUUAGGUAGAAAACUGACAGCAGCCUGCACUUCUGGAACUGGACAACAGAAAUCAGACCUAGUGCAAGGGAACAGUCAAGCCUGCAUGAACAGAUGCUGAAAUUUUCAGAGACCACAGUUUGCCAUCUUAAAAUAUUUCGGAGAAAAUCACCGCAGAAUUUCACAUUUCUCAUGGCUUUAUUUUUUAAUUAAAGAAGAACAGUAAUCAUUAAAAUUAGCUUUUGCAUAUUCAAAAAAUGCCUUUGACAGUACGUUUGUGCAAAGAAGGAAGGAACUGCAGAAAUAAAUUCCAGUCAUCUCAGUUUUCGAUGGAAAUCGAAAAACGACUGAGAAGGUUAAGAAGUAACGGAGUGAACAUUCUUGAGAAACACUGCAAAAUUACACGGAGCCAUCAUGUUGAACAUGCAGGGCCUAAUCUGAAACCUGCUGAGGUCAAUUAAAAUCUUGAUAUUAAUUUUCUCAGGUUUCAGAUUAACCUCAUCUUUAUUUUGCAGAAUUAUAUUAUGAUGGAUUUUUUCUAUCCUCAGGCUUACAUGCUUUUGUCUUCACACUUUCUGUAAGAUUCCCAAUAAUGCUAUUUUUAAUUUGAUGUUCAAGUUCUAUUCCUUCCUGUGAGAAAUACAUUUAUAAUGCAAAUAGAACCUGGAAAAUGGUUGUCUGAAGGUGGUGUUCUUAUACCUGCAGUGUUCUUUCUAAAAUGCCAAGUAUUGUCUGAUGGAAAUAUUUAAUAGUUUGACUCUAAAUUAUUUAAAUAAAUAUUCUUUAUUAAAUGACAUUGCAGAAAUGGUUGUUGUGACAGUGUAAUCAUUUACUUAA